rnacentral:lncRNA from 1 species
UGCUCUCUUUAGGGUGCAAGUGUGCUCAUUAUACCACGACGAGUUUGCUCAUUAUACCACGGUGUCAGACUGUUUUCCUUAACCUUCCUUAAGUGUAAAGGAGCAACUGUAUUUAAAAUGCUAGAAAAGAGAGAGUCCAUAGUUUCUGUUACAUCAUCAAGUUGUUCUGAGGUUUUGGAUAUGCUAAGGAAUUGGGAUACAUCAGGAAGAUUACUUACAAAGCAGUCUUUUGUGGUAGAAGUGAUGGUUCUACCAUACUUGUAACAAGAAGUGGAAUUUACAGUUUUAGCUAUAUGAAGUUUGCACAAAACUAAAUAAUGAUCUGAGAUAUCAUCGCUUGGCUGCAUAAUUUCAACACCAUCAACAUCAAUUCCAUGUGACAGUAUUAAAUCUAGAGUAUGAUUUCGACAAUGAGUAGGUCCUGAGACGUGUUGUCUAACCCCAAUAGAGUUCAGAAUGUCUAUAAAUGCUGAUCCCAAUGCAUCUUUUUCAUUAUCAACAUGGAUAUUAAAAUCACCAACAAUUAAAACUUUAUCUGCAGUCAGCACGACAGGUGAUCUGACCAAUCAUAACGCUGAAUCCGCCAUCUUGCCCGACAAAUCAGACAGGAGAUUAGAUGGACUUCAGUGGACUUAAACUUGAAAAAUAUUUUAUAAAGACAUGCAACAUCUUUUUAUUUUGUGCGUUAAGUAAAUAUGAAAAGACAAUUGGUUCACAUGUGCUGCUUGAACUAAGGCGCUACAGCGAUCUGUCAUACAUUAAAACAGCACAAAAAAAGUAUUUAUUGUUUGAAUUUCUUAAAAAAAAAAAGAACAAAAUUUAAAAGCUGAAACCUUGUUUCAUACCAAAAGUAACCUUCUCUGACUUGUCUGUUGGUGUGUUGUCAGUUUUCUCUUUGCUCCUCGGUGUACUUUCCACUGUGUGAGAACAUGGUGUGUACUGUGAGAGCAGCAUGGCUCGUCGGACAUAGCAACAGUAUCUAAGGAGGGUGGAUUUUUGCGAAGAGUCAAUUGAUUGUUUUUUUUUCAGCAUCAUUACUCCAGUCUUUAGUGUCACAUGAUCCUUCAGAAAUCAUUCUAAUAUGCUAAUUCUUGUUAAAGAAACACUUCUGAUAAAUGUGAAUGUCAAAAAAAAAAAAAAAACCGGUCCAAACCUCUGAAUGGUAGUGUACACUAAAUUUUUUAAAGAAAUUCAUAUUUUUAUUCAGCAAGAAUGCAUUAAAUUAAUCAAAUGUGAGUGUAAAGACUUCUGUUGCAAAUAAAUAAGAGAUUUCUAUUCAUCAAAAUAACUACUCUCUCUCUCUCUCUCUCUCUCUCUAUAUAUAUAUAUAUACACACACACACACACACACACACACACACACACACACACACACACACAGUCAUUUAGCACACGCUUUUAUCCAAAAUGACUUAUGAAUGACGACAAAACAUCCUCAAAUCAGCCAGAGGUGACUAAGACUUGCUGGGGAAGACCAUCUUCUGGCAACAAAGUAAUGUCCAUAUGACAGCAGCUCAAAGAAAAUAUAAGUCGUGUUCAGUAAUAGUAAUUAUUUAUUUUUAUUGCCACGUCAGAAUCUAAGAAUAUCUUCAUGGCAAAGUUACAAUACAAUAACACAAGAGUUACAUAAACACUAAAUAAAAACAGAGCAAACAAUAAUUACAGCAGUUAAAAUAUUUUAAAUUAUAUGAUACAAAUUCUAAAAUCUUUUCUCAUAAAAUCUUACUAAUGUCUCUAGUCAAGUGUUCAGUUAAACACUAUCGUUCAACAUUAAUAAAAGGUAAGCUCAGCAACUUUCAAUCAACUAUGCAUAGUUACAAUGUUGGUAAUAUCACAGAAGUGAGUACACCCCUCACAUAUUGUAAAUACUUUAUUAUAUCUUUUCAUGAGACAACACUGAAGAAAUGACACUUUGCUACAAUGUAAAGUAGUAAGUGUACAGCUUGUAUAACAGUGCAAAUUUGCUGUCCCCUCAAAAUAACUCCGCACACAGCCAUUAAUGUCUAAACCGCUGGCCACAAAAAGUACACCCCUAAGUGAAAAUGUCCAAAUUGGGCCAAAAGUGUCAAUAUUUUGUGUGGCCACCAUUAUUUGCCAGCACUGCCUUAACCAUCAAUCCUCUUCCACUUCUCCAUGA